GGGGGACCAUCCUCCAAGGCUAAAUACUCCUGACUGACCGAUAGUGAACCAGUACCGUGAGGGAAAGGCGAAAAGAACCCCUGUGAGGGGAGUGAAAUAGAACCUGAAACCGUGUACGUACAAGCAGUAGGAGCACCUUCGUGGUGUGACUGCGUACCUUUUGUAUAAUGGGUCAGCGACUUAUAUUCAGUGGCAAGGUUAACCGUAUAGGGGAGCCGUAGCGAAAGCGAGUCUUAACUGGGCGUUCAGUCUCUGGAUAUAGACCCGAAACCGGGUGAUCUAGCCAUGGGCAGGUUGAAGGUUGAGUAACAUCAACUGGAG
rnacentral:rRNA from 1 species